UACGGAGGGUGCAAGCGUUAUCCGGAUUCACUGGGUUUAAAGGGUGCGUAGGUGGGCUAGUAAGUCAGUGGUGAAAUCUCCGGGCUUAACCCGGAAACUGCCAUUGAUACUAUUAGUCUUGAAUACCAUGGAGGUGAGCGGAAUAUGUCAUGUAGCGGUGAAAUGCUUAGAUAUGACAUAGAACACCAAUUGCGAAGGCAGCUCGCUACGCGGUUAUUGACACUGAGGCACGAAAGCGUGGGGAGCAAA
rnacentral:rRNA from 1 species